rnacentral:rRNA from 1 species
UACGUAGGUGGCAAGCGUUUGUCCGGAAUUAUUGGGCGUAAAGCGCGCGCAGGCGGCCUUUUAAGUCUGAUGUGAAAGCCCACGGCUCAACCGUGGAAGGUCAUUGGAAACUGAAAGGCUUGAGUACAGAAGAGGAAAGCGGAAUUCCACGUGUAGCGGUGAAAUGCGUAGAGAUGUGGAGGAACACCAGUGGCGAAGGCGGCUUUCUGGUCUGUAACUGACGCUGAGGCGCGAAAGCGUGGGUAGCAAACAGG